rnacentral:lncRNA from 1 species
GAAAUAUUAAAGUAAUUCGAUUUGAUUCAGAAUUCGAUUUUUUGGAUUUUAUACCAGCCCUAUUGUCAACACUGAACAUGUCUACCAGCUUUAGAACUGAAGUUCUGAAAUUGAAGUGACGUCACUAAAUUGGAUUUGCAUCGACUCAGUUAUCAAGGAUUUUACUCGAUUUUAAUUUGAAAGGAACAGAGAUUGAACACAACAAUACUACUGCCAUAAAGAGAACAAUAGAAGGGAGAAGAAAACAUUUCUUCCCCAUACUAAAAAUCUAUAUAGACUGAGUUUUUAAAGGUCUAGCAAGAGGCAAUACAUUGCUCAGCGAGAUAGAAAAGGUAGGAGCAAAACAACAGAAGAACCAUUUUUUGUUCUAUUUUUCUUUUUAUAUAAAAGCCGAUGGAGAUAAUAACAGCAUAGUUUUUCUUUUUCUUGUAUUGCCAACGCCAAGCAGAACAAAAGUUACGGCUGGGUCAACGGGUAAUAAGAAUAAGAGCUCGCGGUGAUGUAUCGAACCCUACAACAUUGUUUCUUACUUCCUUCUUAAAAAAGGAAGAGCGAGGCAGAAAUAUUAACAACAUUUUAGCUUGAAAAUCUCAAUCAUGGUAAGGAGCCUUUUUUUAAUUGUUAAGAGGUAAUCAUGGAAAUGAACUUUGAAAGCGAGGACGAUGAGAAGUCGAGAUCCAUAGAACAGAUGGACCAGCCAUGGCGUGAGGUAUACAUCAAUGAAUGACAACCCUCGUUCACCACAAAGCUUCUGUCA